ensembl:misc_RNA Metazoa_SRP Metazoan signal recognition particle RNA
ACCAGGUGUCAUGGUGCGUGCCUGUAGUCCCAACUACUCAGGAGGCUGAAGUGGGAGGAUGUCCUGAGGCCAGGGGUUCUGGGCUGUACUGCGCUAUGCCAAUCGGGUGGCCGCACUAAGUUCGGCAUCAAUAUGGUGACCUCCUGGGAGAAGGGGACCACCAGGUUGACUAAGCAGGGGUGAACUGGCCCAGGUCAGAAACAGAGCAGGUCAAAACUCCCGUGCUGAUCAGUAGUGGGAUCACACCUGUGAAUAGCGACUGCACUCCAGCCUGGGCAACACAGCGAGACCCCAUUUCUA